rnacentral:rRNA from 1 species
UACGUAGGUGGCAAGCGUUAUCCGGAUUUAUUGGGCGUAAAGGGAACGCAGGCGGUCUUUUAAGUCUGAUGUGAAAGCCUUCGGCUUAACCGGAGUAGUGCAUUGGAAACUGGUAGACUUGAGUGCAGAAGAGGAGAGUGGAACUCCAUGUGUAGCGGUGAAAUGCGUAGAUAUAUGGAAGAACACCAGUGGCGAAAGCGGCUCUCUGGUCUGUAACUGACGCUGAGGUUCGAAAGCGUGGGUAGCAAACAGG